rnacentral:tRNA from 1 species
GGGGAUGUAGCUCAGUUGGUUAGAGCGCUGCGUUCACAUCGCAGAGGUCGUUGGUUCGAGCCCAAUCAUCCCUA